CAGCAGCAGCCGCGGGAAUACGUAGGGUGCAAGCGUUAAUCGGAAUUACUGGGCGUAAAGCGUGCGCAGGCGGUUCGUUAAGACCGAUGUGAAAUCCCCGGGCUUAACCUGGGAACUGCAUUUGUGACUGGCGGGCUAGAGUAUGGCAGAGGGGGGUAGAAUUCCACGUGUAGCAGUGAAAUGCGUAGAGAUGUGGAGGAAUACCGAUGGCGAAGGCAGCCCCCUGGGCCAAUACUGACGCCCAUGCACGAAAGCGUGGGGAGCAAACAGGAUUAGAUACCCCUGUAGUCCCUGUCUCUUAUAC
rnacentral:rRNA from 1 species